CGGGGGCCUCUGCUACUGCUGCUGCCUUCGUGGUCGCCGCCGCCUCCGCUACCGCCGCCGCCGCUACUUAGACGAUCCUGCAGCGCCAACAUCUUCAUGAAAUUGGUCUGAAAACGGAAGAACGAAAGGCUCGCAAGUCGAGCAGUUAUCCCUCUGGCACAUCUUACCACACUGCUGACGCACUACAGGGAAAGGUCGUCCCGCCGUGGGAGGGACAGGACAGCCCGGUGGGAGAAGACGAGACAAAGGACGAGGAAGGCAACUGUUAACCCUACAGGCGCUUUACGGGAAGACAAAAACCGAUGCACCGGGAGUUGUAUUAGUCUACAAAGUGCAGAGCUCACAGAGGGACUGCAGAGGGACCACCAGGACCAUACACCAGCCCACCAAUCGUCCGACAUCGGGAAGUCAGUGGUGAACUCGGCACCAAUAGGACCACAGAUAAAAUUAAUUAAUCUGUUAGGCACAAGUGGCGGCGUCAGGAAUCUCCUGGGACUAUUUAGGCACCAGUGACACCACCAGAAAGACAUCGAGGGAAUCUUAGAUCACCUCUGGCACCACUGUAGCGAAUCAACACUGGUACUAAUUGAACGCUAUUAGAGCUACUUGAACACUACACAGUAACAUUGCCUUUUGUACAAGUUAUAUGGAAAACAGAUAGAUAACUACAGGUAUCCUUGGAACCACGAGGCCUGCAUAAUUAGACUGGUAAUUCGAUAGGACGACCACUGCAUGCCAUCGGAACCACUGCACUGUGAUGUUACUUAGUGAAUGAGCAGUGAGGACGAACACCAGUAGCGGCAUUAAGCACAGAGGCACCAGCGGGACGUGGACAACACGGUGGGGGGUGACACAGGCGCUGGACUAAUAACAGUACAGUUGAUUGAUCUUAAGUUUGGGAACACUGUUAUUUGUUUCUCA